rnacentral:rRNA from 1 species
AUGUUUGCAUCUUAUACUACAGAGAGUUCUCUAAUAUCGGUUAGAAGUCCUCUUUAUAAAGCAGAGCUUAGUUGUAUUUUGAAGGAAACAAGGAUGUAUCUAAUCGUUGCUCCCGGCUCCUUCUUCCAUCCCCCUAUGAUCGAAUCUUUCUUUUUUUCGAAACGGAGGCAAAAGAUUUGCCUCUACCUAUUAGUUAAGCAGAAGAGAAUUGCCCAGUUAAUUUGCAUAAAAUCGGGCGAAAACCAUCUAUUACCAAAUCUUCACCAUCCUUGCAUCCAUCCCUUUUCAAGCCAUCCUUUAGAAGUCCUCUAUAAAGCAGAGCCUAGUUGUAUUUUGAAGGAAACCAGAAAUGUAUUUUAG